rnacentral:rRNA from 1 species
CCUACGGGCGGCAGCAGUCGAGAAUCAUUCACAAUGGGGGAAACCCUGAUGGUGCGACGCCGCGUGGGGGAAUGAAGGUCUUCGGAUUGUAAACCCCUGUCAUGUGGGAGCAAAUUAAAAAGAUAGUACCACAAGAGGAAGAGACGGCUAACUCUGUGCCAGCAGCCGCGGUAAUACAGAGGUCUCAAGCGUUGUUCGGAAUCACUGGGCGUAAAGGGUGCGUAGGCUGUUUCGUAAGUCGUGUGUGAAAGGCGCGGGCUCAACCCGCGGACGGCACAUGAUACUGCGAGACUAGAGUAAUGGAGGGGGAAGCGGAAUGCACGGUGUAGCAGUGAAAUGCGUAGAUAUCGGGAGGAACACUCGUGGCGAAGGCGGGUUCCUGGACAUUAACUGACGCUGAGGCACGAAGGCCAGGGGAGCGAAAGGGAUUAGAUACCCCGGUAGUC